rnacentral:rRNA from 1 species
CCUACGGGAGGCAGCAGUAGGGAAUCUUCCACAAUGGACGAAAGUCUGAUGGAGCAACGCCGCGUGAGUGAUGAAGGGCUUCGGCUCGUAAAGCUCUGUUGGCAGUGAAGAAAGAUAGAGGUAGUAACUGGCCUUUAUUUGACGGUAACUACUUAGAAAGUCACGGCUAACUCCGUGCCAGCAGCCGCGGUAAUACGUAGGUGGCAAGCGUUGACCGGAUUUAUUGGGCGUAAAGCGAUUGCAGGCGGUUCAAUAAGUCUGAUGUGAAAGCCUUCGGCUCAACCGGGGAAUUGCAUCAGAAACUGGUGAACUUGAGUGUAGAAGAGGAGAGUGGAACUCCAGGUGUAGGGGUGGAAUGCGUAGAUAUAUGGAAGAACACCAGUGGCGAAGGCGACUCUCUGGUCUGCAACUGACGCUGAGGCUCGAAAGCGUGGGUAGCGAACAGGAUUAGAUACCCGUGUAGUC